GCAAGUAAAGAAGGGCGCACGGUGGAUGCCUAGGCUCUUGCAGGCGAAGAAGGACGUGGUAAGCUGCGAAAAGUCGCGGAGAGGCGCAAACAGCCAUUGACCCGCGAAUGUCCGAAUGGGAAAACCCGGCAUGUCGAAGACAUGUCAUCCCUUAUGGGAGGCGAACGCGGGGAACUGAAACAUCUUAGUACCCGCAGGAAGAGAAAAUAAGAAUGAUUCCCCCAGUAGCGGCGAGCGACCGGGGAAGAGCCCAAACCCAAGGUGUGCAAGCACGUUGGGGGUUGUAGGACCGGAGUUAGUUGGAGAAAGAUGGAAGCUGAAUGUACUGGAAAGUGCAGCCGCAGCGGGUGAAAGCCCCUUAGGCGUAACAGAGGUCUCCUGAUCCGGCACCUGAGUAGGUCGGGACACGAGGAAUCCUGACUGAAUCCGGCGGGCCCAUCCGCCAAGGCUAAAUACUCGCAAGAGACCGAUAGCGAACCAGUACCGUGAGGGAAAGGUGAAAAGCACCCCGAACAGGGGAGUGAAAGAGUCCCUGAACCCGUGCGCCUACAAGCGGUCGGAGCGGGCAAGUCCCGUGACGGCGUGCCUUUUGCAUAAUGAACCUACGAGUUGUCGUUUCUGGCAAGGCUAAGUGUUUUAGACACGUACCCGCAGCGAAAGCGAGUCCGAAGAGGGCGCAGAGUCAGGAGCGGCAGACGCGAAACCGAGUGAUCUACCCUUGUCCAGGUUGAAGUCCGGGUAACACCGGAUGGAGGACCGAACCAACUGGCGUUGAAAAGCCUCUGGAUGAGGUGAGGGUAGGGGUGAAAGGCCAAUCAAACUCGGAGAUAGCUCGUACUCCCCGAAAUGCAUUUAGGUGCAGCCUCGUAUGUUUAUAAUGAGAGGUAGAGCGACUGAUCGGACGCGAGGGCUUCACCGCCUAUCAAGUCCGGAUAAACUCCGAAUGCUCAUUAUUGAAGUACGGGAGUGAGGGCGUGGGUGCUAAGGUCCGCGCCCGAGAGGAGAAGAAUCCAGACCGUCGGCUAAGGCCCCGAAAUGCGGGUUAAGUUAAUCUAACGAAGUGUAUUCCCGAAGACAGCUAGGAUGUUGGCUUGGAAGCAGCCAUUCAUUCAAAGAGUGCGUAACAGCUCACUAGUCGAGGGAGUGUGCGUGGAUAAUAAUCGGGUAUGAAAUCCGCUGCCGAAGCCACGGGGGCUGUAGAGCCCGGUAGGGGAGCAUUGCAGUUGCGUAGAAUGUCGGGGAUGACCCCGUCUGGAGCGGCUGGAAAAGCAAAUGUAGGUAUAAGUAACGAUAAAGGGUGUGAGAUUCACCCUCGCCGAAAGGCUAAGGUUUCCCGGGCAACGUCAAUCGUCCCGGGGUGAGUCGGGUCCUAAGGCAAAGCCGAAUGGCGCAGUCGAUGGAAAAACGGUAAAGAUUCCGUUACUGGCUCAUGUGGUGAAGCGGCGACGGAGAAGUGACACUUCCGCGCACCGACGGAAUGGUGCGUUUAAGGGUAAAGGCGUAGAGGGACGCAGUGAAGUACACGUUCCGAGCUGAAGCCCGAAAGUACUCCAAGGGAUUCGUCCCGCGGAGAGUGAAGGUAAUCAUGCUCCCGAGAAAACCCGCUAAGCGUUAACACAUGAGGCACCCGUACCGUAAACGGACACACGUAGCCAGGUAGAAAAUACUAAGGCGCUUGGAAGAUUCACGGUUAAGGAACUAGGCAAAUUGACCCUGUAACUUCGGAAGAAAGGGUCCUCACGUGAGUGAGGCGCAGAGAAUAGGUCCAGGCAACUGUUUAACAAAAACACAGGGCUGUGCGAAUUCGAAAGAAGCGGUAUACAGUCUGACACCUGCCCGGUGCCGGAAGGUUAAGAGGAGAGCUCAUCGCAAGAGAAGGUUUGAAUUGAAGCCCCGGUAAACGGCGGCCGUAACUAUAACGGUCCUAAGGUAGCGAAAUUCCUUGUCGGGUAAGUUCCGACCUGCACGAAUGGUGUAAUGAUCUGGACGCUGUCUCAACCGUGAGCUCAGUGAAAUUGUAGUAUCGGUGAAGAUGCCGAUUACCCGCGAUGGGACGAAAAGACCCCGUGAACCUUUACUGCAGCUUAACGUUGUGACCGGGCAUCGCUCGUGUAGGAUAGGCCGGAGGCUGUGAAGAGCCGGCGCCAGCCGGUUUGGAGCCAUCGUUGAAAUACGGCCCCUGCGCUGUCUGGUCCCUAACCCGUGGUUAUGGGGACCGCGUUUGGCGGGCAGUUUGACUGGGGUGGUCGCCUCCAAAAGUGUAACGGAGGCUUCCCAAGGUGCCCUCGGGCCGUAUGGUAACCGGCCCAAGAGUGCAAUGGCAGAAGGGCGCUUGACUGUGAGGCAGACGUGCCGACCAGGUAGGAAACUAGGGCAUAGUGAUCCGGCGGUUCCGUAUGGAAGGGCCGUCGCUCAAAGGAUAAAAGGUACUCCGGGGAUAACAGGCUGAUCCCUCCCAAGAGCUCAUAUCGACGGAGUGGUUUGGCACCUCGAUGUCGGCUCGUCACAUCCUGGGGCUGGAGAAGGUCCCAAGGGUUGGGCUGUUCGCCCAUUAAAGUGGCACGCGAGCUGGGUUCAGAACGUCGUGAGACAGUUCGGUCUCUAUCUAUCGUGGGCGUAGGAAAUUUGCGCGGCUCUGUCACUAGUACGAGAGGACCGUGACGGACUGACCUCUGGUUAACCGGUUGUGCCGCCAGGCGCAUUGCCGGGUAUCCAAGUCGGGAUCGGAUAAGCGCUGAACGCAUCUAAGCGCGAAGCCGGCCGCAAGAUAAGAUUUCCCUUGAGGGUCGUCAGAGACGAUGACGUAGAUAGGGUGCAGGUGUAAAGGCGGUGACGCCAAAGCCGAGCACUACUAAUAGCCCGAGACUUGCACGC
rnacentral:rRNA from 1 species